GGCUCAUUGAUGAUUCUAAGUACAUUAAGACCAGCAAUAGUUCCAGCAUCUUGGUAGCCUGAACGCUGAGAAUCAGAUCGGAAGAGACAGGUCUGACCUC